CCACGCCCCAGUGCGCUGUGGGAUAGUGGCAGUAUAUCCUUUCCUCGGAGAGAGAUAAGAAGCCGAGGCAGGAGAGGGGAUGAAGAUGGCGGACGCCAAGCAGAAGAGGAACGAACAGUUGAAACGAUGGCUGGGCUCGGAGACAGACUUGGAGCCGCCCCUGCUGAAAAAGAAGAAGACGAAGGUGAAGUUCGACGAUGGCGCCGUCUUUUUGGCUGCCUGCUCGAGUGGCGACACCGAAGAGGUGCUCAGGAUGCUGGACCGGGGAGCUGACAUCAACUACGCAAAUGUGGACGGUCUUACAGCCCUACACCAGGCCUGCAUCGAUGACAACGUGGACAUGGUGACGUUCCUGGUGGAGCACGGGGCCAGCGUCAACCAGCCGGAUAACGAGGGCUGGAUUCCGCUCCAUGCCGCUGCUUCCUGUGGAUACAUGGACAUUGCACAGUACCUGAUCAGCCAGGGGGCGAACGUUGGUGUGGUCAACAGCGAGGGAGAGACGCCAUUGGACAUCGCCGAGGAGGAGGCCAUGGAGGAGCUGCUGCAGAACGAGAUCAACCGACAAGGCGUGGACAUCGAGGCGGCGCGUAAGGAGGAGGAGCGGAUCAUGCUGAGGGACGCGCGGCAGUGGCUGAACAGCGGUCAGAUCAGCGACGUGCGCCACACCAAGUCCGGAGGCACCGCCAUGCACGUCGCCGCCGCCAAGGGCUACGCCGAAGUUUUAAAGCUUUUAAUCCAGGCGGGGUACGAUGUGAAUAUUAAAGACUUUGAUGGCUGGACCCCCAUCCACGCGGCAGCGCACUGGGGGAAGGAGGAGUCCUGCCGCAUCCUGGUGGACAACCUGUGUGACAUGGACGCCAUCAACAAAGUGGGCCAAACUGCCUUUGAUGUAGCAGAUGAAGAUGUUCUUGGUUACUUGGAAGAACUACAAAAGAAGCAAACCCUGCUCCUGAGUGAGAAGCGGGACGUGAAGACUCCUCUGAUUGAAACCAAGACUACAUCGGACAACAACCAAUUACAGAAGCCCGUUAAGAGUGAGGACACUGUCCUACUGGUGCCGGAGAAGGUGGCUCCCAGGAUUGAGUCCCUGGAGCAGGAGAAGGCGGACGAAGAGGAGGAAGAGGAAGGGAAGAAGGACGAGUCGAGCUGCUCCAGCGAGGAGGAAGAGGAGGAGGACUCUGAGUCUGAGACUGAAGCAGAGAAGAACAAGCCCUCUGCGCCCACGAGCAGCUCCAACAGCACGACUCCGGCCCCGCCCAGCGUCACAGUCUCCUCCCCGACCAGCCCCACCAACCAGGUGACCCCCUCGUCGCCCGUCAAGAAGCAGGCCCCCCCCAGCGGAAAGGUGUCCCCGAAGGAAGAGGACCGCAAGGACGAGUCCCCGGCCUCCUGGCGCCUGGGCCUGCGGAAGACGGGCAGCUACGGGGCCCUGCCCGAGAUCACCGCCACCAAGGAGGCGCAGAAGGAGAAGGGCCCGUCCGGCGUGAUGCGCUCUGCCUCCAGCCCCCGCCUGUCCUCCAGCCUGGACAACAAGGACAAGGACAAGGAGAAGGAGAAGAACACGCGACUGGCCUAUGUGGCUCCCACCAUCCCGUCCCGGAGGUUCGCUAGCACCUCAGACGUAGACGAAAAGGAGAACAGGGACUCCGCUGCCAGUCUGGUGCGCAGCGGCUCCUACACCAGGAGGCGCUGGGACGACGACGCCAAGAACACAGACGGGUCCGCCUCCCAGAACAGAACCUCCGGAUACCAGCGCAGCCCGUCCCACUCGCUAGCAAUAGGGCGGAGCAGCAGCGCUAGAGACGUUCCGACAAAGUCCUCCUCCGCCUCCAGCCUGGACCCUAACGCCUGUAACACUAAACCGUGGCAAUCGCCCUCAUCCCACUACCAGUCUUACAGCAUCUAUAGAAGCGGGUCUUUUGGCAGGAGGUUCGACGACGCCCUUGGCUCGGGUGUCACCUCCUCCACUCCCACCUCCUCUACCACCACCACCACCUCCUCCUCAGUUACCUCGCCGUCUGGCCACCGGAGCCUGCUGUCCGGCUCGGGCCCUGUCUCCGGCUCCACCACCUCCUCCUCCCGCACCGGCUCCUCCGGCAUCUCCAGCAGGUUCUGGUCAGAUGACAGUGCGGAGAAGGAGUCUGCUGCUGUUAUUCCUACAGUUGUAAAUACAGCUUCUACCACCACCACUACGUCCACCAGCAGCACUGUACCGGGAGAGAGGCGCAGAUCGUACCUCACUCCCGUCCGGGACGAAGAGUCCGAGUCCCAGAGGAAAGCCCGGUCCCGCCAGGCGAGGCAGUCCCGGAGGUCCACCCAGGGCGUGACCUUGACCGACCUCCAGGAGGCCGAGAAGACCAUCGGGCGGAGCCGCCCGGCUCGGACGCGGGAGGAGGAGAAGGAAAAGGAGGAGAAGGAGAAGGAGGACAAGGAGAAGCAGGAGGAGAAGAAAGAGGCGCAGACCAAGGAGGAUGACUACCGGUCACGCUACCGCUUUGAGGAGACGUACCAGCGCUACCGGCCAUCCUCCACCUCCAGCUCCACCACCCCGGCCUCCAGCACCUCCCUCACCUCCUCCGGCACCUCCCUGUACUCCUCCAGCUCGCUCAACCGGCCAAACAGCCUGAGCGGCAUCACCUCCGCCUACCCCAGCUCGGCCCGGACCUCGCGCCAGACCGAGAAAGAGCUGGAUAAGAAGGAGGAGGAGAAGGAGGGAGAGGACAAGUCCCAGCCCCGCUCCAUACGGGACCGCCGCAGGCCCCGGGAGAAGAGGCGCUCCACCGGGGUGUCCUUCUGGACUCAGGAUAGCGACGAGAACGACCCGGAUCGUCAGUCAGAUUCGGAAGAGGGCAGCAACCGGAGCGAGCCUCAGAGUGACCGACUAUCAAGGGGCGACUCUGUACUGACUAGCACUUCUACUGAGCGAUACGAUCGCAGCUACAGCGAAGGCCGCCGGCCCUACCUGAGCCGACUGGAGAGGGACGACACCACUGAUUACAAAAAGCUUUACGAGCAGAUCGUGGCUGAGAACGAGAAGCUGAAGGCCCAGUUACGCGACACGGACCUGGAGCGCUCGGGGCUGAAGCUGCAGCUGGAGAAGGCCACUCAGCGGCAGGAGAGAUUCGCUGACCGGUCGCAGCUGGAAAUGGAAAAAAGGGAAAGAAGAGCUCUAGAAAGGAAGAUCUCUGAGAUGGAGGAGGAACUAAAGACGCUCCGUGAGGUGCGGCAGGUUCAGGCUCUGAGGCGUGUUACUGAGCGUCUCCAGGCUGAGCACCGGGCUCUGACCCGUGUGGUGGCCCGUCUCGCCCAGGCCUGCAGCCAGCUCCAGUCCGCCCCCCUGCCCCUCUCUCCCGCCCCGUAGACGCCUGUCCUGCCGGAGACCCCCAGAGUCAGAGGCCCCUUUGCCCCCAGCGUGACGCCCGGAAUCCAUAUUAUUUAUAACGCUACCAGACUUGAAAGCAGACAACCAGAGGCUAAAGGACGAGAACGGAGCCCUCAUUCGCGUCAUUAGCAAACUCUCCAAGUAGCCCGGCCCCCCCUCACCCGCCCCCAAACACCGCAGCGACCUGUGGCAUUGCACAUUUUAGACGUUAAACUGCGACCGACAUCAGCUACGAGAAGGCUCCCCACACGCAUUCACAGUCACCAGUAGCCCCGCCCCCCCCCGUCCCCAGACCCUGCGCUGUCAUUGGCCACCGCCCCAUCGCCUUGUGUGCCCCCCCCCCCCCCCCUACUUCCUGUUAGGUUCCUACACUCCAUCCUGCUGCUGUGCAGACAGAACCACUGAGAGAGAGAGAUAGAGAGAGAAAGAAAGAGAGAGAGAGAGAAACAUCGUGGGCGGGGACGCCUCACAAAGACAUAUUUAACCAGUAAGCCUUAGUCUGUACAUAAAAAAAAAACACUUGCAUCAAAGCGCUCGACUGUCACAGAGGAAGUUAUUCAACACUUUGUUCUUUUUUUUUUUGGUGCCACAGUCUUUUUCCUUUUUUCUUAUUUUUGUUUUUAAACACAAGCUUAGAAGUGUUGUGUGCUGUGUGAUUUUUUUUUCCUCCUGAUUCUGCUUCCAUCAUUUCUGUUUUUUUACCCUUCAUUUCCUUAAUUUACCCCCACCCCAUGUUACCAUAGUCCCGCCCCAUGUCACCGUAGUCCCGCCCCAUGUAACUGAAGCCACGCCCCUUCCCGUGUAGGAAGUCCCGCCCCUUCCGAGUCUCUGCCACCCAGCAGAAGCCUCCCCGAAGACUCCCGGCGUUUGAUUGGACGUUCCUGCCCCCCCAUUCCAUGCUCCUCCUCCUCUUCCUAACACUCACACAUGCACACAAAAUGUCCCCUCCACCUAUUCAGUGUCAUCUUUCCGUUUCUUCCUCCAAGAAGGAAAGUUCUUGCUGUACAGAGCAGGUGGACUUUGGUGGAAUUUAAGCUUUCACUUAAUGUGCAAUAUGCAUUUUUUUUUAAAAACAAAAAUGCUCGAACGAGUCCAUCAGAAAUAGGUUAUUCACCCCAUAUCUCCAUAGCUCCCGUCUAAUUUUUUUUUGUUUUCUUUUCUUUUUUUAUUUCUAGUGUAGUUGUUGGUUUAUACCCUGUAUUGUACACUUUAUUUUAGCAGGUACUGAGUGAUGCUGUACAUAUGUAUUGUUUGACACCAGCACAAGGCAUGCAUAAAGGUUCCCUAUGACAAGGUCCGCCUGUUACUAUUAAAAUAUACAAUCUCCUGAGGAUUAAAAGGUGUUUAAACUACUUUUAUAGUCUAAAGUCAUUGAGUUGAGUAGAGCCUGUCUCUCCAGGGAGGUGGCUAUCAGUAUUCAGUACUGGUCUUGUUUUCGUUUUUUGUUUUUUUUUUCCUUUUGUUUUGUGAUCAGAAUUUAAAAAAAAUGUUCACAGUAAUUGUGAAAAGAAUAAUAUAAUUGCUUCACUACAUUUCACACGUUGUACACAGUAUCUUUGGAAGAGUGCUUUUUUAAGCAGUGAUAUUAGUGUUUGUCAUUCAAUUCUAGGAGUUUUGAAACCCAGUCCUUUUUACAAUGUCAUCGUGCACUGUUUAUGCCGUGUGACGAGUCCUGCCCAGGCAGGAGAACUUACCACUAUGUCAAAUAAAGACCAUGCAUCAAAACAUAUAUAUUGAAUGCAUUUCAGUGGCCUUUUAAAUUUACAGUAGUGAACCGAGAUAUUGCUGUAGUUUGCGGAUUGUUGGCAUUUUCCUCUUUAGUUUUGAUUUCCAUUUUUACUUUUCCCUUUUAAAAACUUUAACGCCAUCUUGUAAAAUACGUGAGUGACUUCAUACUGGCGCACUGUGCUGUGACUACCAACCACUGAGGAGUUGAUUUAAAAAAGAAAAAAAGACAAUUGUACAUUGUAAAGCUUGCAUUAGCUGUUGUAUUAUCAUUGAUUAUAUUGUAUACUUAAAUGUGAAUUUAUACCCCUUCAUAAAAGAGAGAGAGCGCGCGAAACAAGGUCGUCCUGUCGGAUAUUUUUAGUUGCAAACGCUGGGCAGUUGUAUUUUUUUUUUUUUUUUUUUUUAAGCGAUAGGUUCCGUGUAGUUGGGAGGUUUUGCUCUGACUACCAAGCUCAGGAUAUAUCGAUGUAUAAAAAAGUAACAACGUGAAUAUUCCGGUCAUGGACUAAUCUUGCGUAAUUGGACGGUGGGAAGGAUGGAUGCAAGCUAAUAUAUUGUGCAUAGUGAUUCUGAGGCAGAGUGACGUCAGGGAGGCAAAGAUCGCGAGCAGAAGGUCUCAGUAGUGCGACUUGAACAGUUAGGAUGAACGCCAGUACCGAGUGUACGCGCAGACUUCGCAACGCUACUGUCCGAUGUUUUAGUGUUUUAUAUUAACGUUAUUUAUUCUUUAAGACGAGAGAAGCGAAAUGACUGGGACUGUGGUGGUUCUAUUGGUAGAACAGAGCAUACCCUUGACGUUGCAUGGAACCAGUUGCUGAAAAGCAAUUAUUUUGGAGAAAAACUGUAUUUUGACAUAUACAAAUAAAAAGGAAUAAAGUUA